UCUUCGAGAAGCAAAAAUUUACAGUCCCCACAUAUAUUUAUAGUUUCAAGAUCAUCAUUAUCAGGUGCAAAAGUUCUUCUGCACAGCACACAUGCUGCUGGGUAGACAGAAUGGUCAACCACUAAACCAUCUGCAUGGCCAUGAGCAGCAAAGAGAGGCACAUCUUGUGAAGUUCUUUCUGAAUCUGCAUCCAUCAGAAAAUCAAUUCCGAACUGGAAAAUGCUUGGAUCUUCAGGAUAGCCAAGCGCAAGGUCCAAUCACAAGCUUCAGGCUUUUAGACCCGUAGAAACAAAACCAAAAAUUAAAUCCACAAAAGGGGAAAAACCAACAAAAAUUAAUGAGGAAAUCAAAAAAAAGAAAUGAAAUUCCAACAACCACAAUACGA
rnacentral:misc_RNA from 1 species